rnacentral:misc_RNA from 1 species
GGCAUUCCUCUUCCGAGCGAUCUUUUUGCCAAAAAAGGGGCAAAAAAGAAUAGGCAAAAGAGAAGAAUGAAUAACCAAAACGAAUAUACUCCAGAAAAUAUAAGAACACGAAGUAAUAAGAACAAUUUUAAAAGUAUCAAUUUUUUAACAGCCAUUUAUACAUGAGAAAAAACAGUCUAAAAAGUAAUGAAUUUUUCAUCCUUGAUGGGCUCAAUUAAUCAACUAAAAUUGACUUACAUUAUUAACUAUCGGACAGUAUCCAUGAAUUACUCACUACUUCCAUAGUCCAGGUCUUGCCUCCUUAGCAGGAUGCUCAACUCGAACUAAGGAGUUGGGGACUUGUCACAGGAUCAAUAAUUUUAACUAGGAAAAGCUAAUGACACACAACGGACAAUGAUGGAAUAUGAAAAUUAGACCCUACCGUAAAAUAGACAAAUAGACUAAGAAAGAGGAAUCUUUAUCUCUUCUCUAAAUCUCUAUAAUUCUCUACUGGUUAGUGACUACUGACUCAAGCACCAAAGAUGGCAUUGGCUGGCAACUUCUUUUAUGCUUCAUCUCCAUUUUGCAAAUUUUUUUUCCUAGCAAAGAUGCCUCCUAGUCGACUAGGAAUUUUCACGAUCUAUCAUCA